rnacentral:rRNA from 1 species
GACGAACGCUGGCGGCGUGCCUAAUACAUGCAAGUAGAACGCAGUUGGAACGGGGGAGUAACGCGUAGGUAACCUCCUCAAAGAGGGGAUAACUAUUGGAAACGAAAGCUAAACCGAUAGUGAGAUGGACCUGCGUUGUAGUAGCUAGUUGGUGAGGUAAAGGCACAACAAGGCGCCGAUACAUAGCCGACCUGAGAGGGUGAUCGGCCACACUGGGACUGAGACACGGCCCAGACUCCUACGGGAGGCAGCAGUAGGGAAUCUUCGGCAAUGGACGAAAGUCUGACCGAGCAACGCCGCGUGAGUGAAGAAGGUUUUCGGAUCGUAAAACUCUGUUGUUAGAGAAGCGGUAUCUAACCAGAAAGCCACGGCUAACUACGUGCCAGCCGCCGCGGUAAUUC